ACCCGCUGAACUUAAGCAUAUCAAUAAGCGGAGGAAAAGAAACCAACAGGGAUUGCCCCAGUAACGGCGAGUGAAGCGGCAACAGCUCAAAUUUGAAAUCUGGCUCUCGGGCCCGAGUUGUAAUUUGUAGAGGAUGCUUUUGGUGAGGUGCCUUCCGAGUUCCCUGGAACGGGACGCCAUAGAGGGUGAGAGCCCCGUCUGGUUGGACGCCGAACCUCUGUAAAGCUCCUUCGACGAGUCGAGUAGUUUGGGAAUGCUGCUCUAAAUGGGAGGUAUAUGUCUUCUAAAGCUAAAUACCGGCCAGAGACCGAUAGCGCACAAGUAGAGUGAUCGAAAGAUGAAAAGAACUUUGAAAAGAGAGUUAAACAGUACGUGAAAUUGUUGAAAGGGAAGCGCUUGUGACCAGACUUGGGCUUGGUUGAUCAUCCGGGGUUCUCCCCGGUGCACUCUUCCGGCCCAGGCCAGCAUCAGUUCGCCCUGGGGGACAAAGGCUUCGGGAACGUGGCUCUCUCCGGGGAGUGUUAUAGCCCGUUGCGUAAUACCCUGUGGCGGACUGAGGUUCGCGCAUUCGCAAGGAUGCUGGCGUAAUGGUCAUCAGUGACCCGUCUUGAAACACGGACCAAGGAGUCGUCUUCGUAUGCGAGUGUUCGGGUGUCAAACCCCUACGCGAAAUGAAAGUGAACGCAGGUGAGAGCUUCGGCGCAUCAUCGACCGAUCCUGAUGUUAUCGGAUGGAUUUGAGUAAGAGCAUACGGGGCCGGACCCGAAAGAAGGUGAACUAUGCCUGUGUAGGGUGAAGCCAGAGGAAACUCUGGUGGAGGCUCGCAGCGGUUCUGACGUGCAAAUCGAUCGUCAAA
rnacentral:rRNA from 2 species